UUCUUGAAGUUGUGUCUGCGACAAAAAAAAGUCAAAUUUGAUAGCUAUAUAUAGAUGUAGAUGAAUGCAAGAGCAUGCUGCCACAUCAGUUUUUGCCUGCCGGAAGUGAUACAGCCUUCAUAAACACUGGUUGUCAAAGGUGUAUUCAUGAAGCUGUCUUGUGUUAAAAUGUCAGCAAAAUUUUGGAUUCUCCAGAACUCCUUAUUAGUCACCAGAAGGCCUUGUUUCAUGUCCCACCAAUAUCUAAGGAUCAUUCAGUGUGAGUUCACGAGAGAAACACCAUCUUUGUUGACAUGCCCAGCCUUAAAACACAAUGUUGCCAUUGAGAUAUCAUCCUUCCUGAUGUCAUGACAUGAUUCUCCCAAAAAGCUUGUGGCAUUGGAUGAAAAGCAUAUUUCAGGAUCUCGUGUGUUUUCCUUACAUGUAAUGAGCAUGUUUGUAAGUGUAUAUGGUGGGAGGGGGAAAGAGAUGAAUAAUUUGCAAGAAUUUUGAGACAAGUCAAGCACUUUCUGUUAAGACAGAAGGGUAGAAUGGAAAAUACUUUAAGGUUGUUCUUCACUGCUGAAAUUGUGUGCACAUCUCUGCACUAACUGACCCACAGUCCUAUUAAUAGAGGCAGGCGAAGUUAGCAAGAUAAGGGAUUCAUUGUGAUGUGCAAAAUUUCCGGUUCCUCAUCAUAGCAAAUCUAGAAUUCCAUUCACAAUGGCCCAAGGAUGGGGCAAAGGAAGCAGAAAAAGCAGCCUUUCCUGAAAUAGCCAUAUCUGGUAGACACUAUAGCCUGGAUGCAAAGAGAUUUUAUAGCACAUUUGAGGGGAAGGAUUAGAGAAAGAAAUUGGUGGCAUAGACUUAAAGUUUGCUUCAUCUAUUACAUGGAGUAAAAUGUUUAGGAAUACCUCACCACCAUACUCACAAGUUCUGCAUUUCUAUUGCUAUUCACAUAUUCAACCUGUUCCGAGGUACUUCACUCCAUGCAUCUGAAGAAAUAGACUGAAUUCUAUGAAAGCUUAUGCUAGUAAUUUCUCAAAGUUGCUAAAAGAUCCCUUUGCAUACUGAUGUAUACUAACAAGGUUACAUCUUUGAAUUCUAACCUGAAGUUAUUGAAGGUUUUUAUUGCUUUUGUUUCAGUCAUUUGAAUGACUGUUGAAUUACUAGAUGCAUUUGAACCUUCAGAAAUACUUGAAAUUACCUGUAAAAGAAAACUCGAAUUUCAGUUGAGAGUAAACAGUUGAGUUAACAAAAAGUUUAGUUUAUUCAGUGCUUAGACUAUAGGUCUUACACAUAUACCGUAGUAAAGAUAAAGGAUUUCCCCUGACAUUAAGUCCAGUCAUGUCCGACUCUGGGGGUGGUGCUCAUCUCCAUUUCUAAGCCGAAGAGCCGGCGUUGUCCAUAGACACCUCCAAGGU
rnacentral:lncRNA from 1 species